CCUACGGGAGGCAGCAGUGAGGAAUAUUGGUCAAUGGGCGAGAGCCUGAACCAGCCAAGUCGCGUGAGGGAGUACUGCCCUAUGGGUUGUAAACCUCUUUUGUCGGGGAGCAAAAGCCGGACGUGUCCGGCUGUGAGAGUACCCGAAGACAAAGAAUCGGCUAACUCCGUGCCAUCAGCCGCGGUAAUACGGAGGAUGCGAGCGUUAUCCGGAUUUAUUGGGUUUAAAGGGUGCGCAGGCGGAUUUUUAAGUCAGCGGUCAAAUCGUGGGGCUCAACCCCAUCCUGCCGGUGAAACUGGGGAUCGAGAGGGGGCGAGGGGGAUGCGGAAUGCGUGGUG
rnacentral:rRNA from 1 species